rnacentral:rRNA from 1 species
ACGAACGCUGGCGGCGUGCUUGACACAUGCAAGUCGAACGGAAAGGCCCUGCUUUUGUGGGGUGCUCGAGUGGCGAACGGGUGAGUAACACGUGAGUAACCUGCCCUUGACUUUGGGAUAACUUCAGGAAACUGGGGCUAAUACCGGAUAGGAGCUCCUGCUGCAUGGUGGGGGUUGGAAAGUUUCGGCGGUUGGGGAUGGACUCGCGGCUUAUCAGCUUGUUGGUGGGGUAGUGGCUUACCAAGGCUUUGACGGGUAGCCGGCCUGAGAGGGUGACCGGCCACAUUGGGACUGAGAUACGGCCCAGACUCCUACGGGAGGCAGCAGUGGGGAAUAUUGCACAAUGGGCGGAAGCCUGAUGCAGCAACGCCGCGUGCGGGAUGACGGCCUUCGGGUUGUAAACCGCUUUCGCCUGUGACGAAGCGUGAGUGACGGUAAUGGGUAAAGAAGCACCGGCUAACUACGUG